GACGAACCGUGCGAACGUUGUUCGGAUUCACUGGGCUUAAAGGGCGCGUAGGCGGGUUAUCAAGUCAGGGGGGAAAUCUUUCGGCUUAACCGGAAAAUGGCCUCUGAUACUGGUAGUCUUGAGGGAGGUAGGGGCAGGUGGAACUUCCGGUGGAGCGGUGAAAUGUGUUGAUAUCGGAAGGAACGCCGGUGGCGAAAGCGACCUGCUGGAUCUCUUCUGACGCUGAGGCGCGAAAGCUAGGGGAGCGAACGGG
rnacentral:rRNA from 1 species